rnacentral:rRNA from 1 species
AUGAGGAAAAAUUUAUUGGAAUUUAUAAUUACAACGUAUGAUAGUAGUAGAAAACGAUUUAUUAUUCGGCCAAAUACUGACGGCAUCAGUGUGCUUAACGAAGAUGUUUAUGACAUAUUCGGGCUACGUAACGAGGGUGAUGAUGUCAAUAGCAUGAUAGCAACAGUACAACUAGAUGCCAAAAAGUUGUUCCGAUCAUAUGAUGAUGAUUUUGUGAGAAGGGCCGUACUGGUUCUUAUGGGUACAGUCUUAGCACCACAAUCCACCAAGUUUGUUCCUUAUCGUUAUUACAAAAUGGUGGAGGACGUGAACGCUAUCAAGUCAUACAAUUGGAACGAUUUCACGUUGGGGGGGGGGUGCAUGGAUGCUAUUAAAAAAACGGUCGAAGAUCUUGAAAAAUUCAAGUGGCCUAUCGGGAACUUGGCUCUUCUUCAGAAACGGAAGGGAAAAAGCGAGACGACUAUGACAACAUGCACAGGUGGGGCACCGGCAAUAUUGAAAACUGCAUUAGCGAAGAGUACAGACGUGCUAAGGUUGAACACGGAAGGUGUGCUGUACAAACCCAAUAAGAGGGACAACAAUGACGAAUUUGAUAAUGUAGGUGAAGGAGUUGGGAUGGAGAAUGGCAAGUACAAGUCAUCAAAAUGUUGGCCAGAUAUUGAAUCACCUACGGAUGUAAAGAUAGGAACAUCUUUCACGGGUAUGAAUGAUACCUCCGUGCCCGUUGAUGACACGGGUGCUCCGGCGACGACACCGGGUAAAGGUGAAGCUACGAUCCUUUCAUUAUAG